rnacentral:lncRNA from 1 species
UGAGGGGAUGCUUGGAUCUGGCUCUGGCCUUGGGAGUGGGAGUGGGGCCGUCUUUCCAUCAAGGCUGGCAGCCGCUUCCCACCCCCAGUCCCGCCAGCCCACCAAAGUCCACUGACAGGAGUUGUAGAGAAGGCAAGCCGGGUGAGCACAACACCAGAGGAGAAGAUCCUAACUGGAUCAACGGACUAGGGGAGAAAAGUGUUGGGGGUUAGGGGCUAGGGAACAACCACUGCAUUUUGGGGAAAAAUCUGUGGAUACUGGAAGUAGAGGCAAGUCAGCUUCUAGUUCACUCUGGGCUCCUGACACUCUGAGGAUCCUGACGGCCAUAGGGCCAGGUUCGCCACUUUUGAGGAGGCAGAAUUCAGACAAGGGGCCAGUUCCAGAUCCAGAGCUGAAUGGGAAGCGCGUGAGUCCCCGACACGGCCGCUUCAGUGGUUAGAGUACACCGGGGACUAGUGGCAGCUUCUGCGACAGGGAUGAUAACCCAGCAGCCAACUGGCUUCAUGCGCGCUCCACUCGGAAAAAGCGGUGCCCCUAUACAAAACACCAGACCCUGGAACUGGAGAAAGAGUUUCUGUUCAACAUGUACCUCACCAGGGACCGCAGGUACGAGGUGGCUCGACUGCUCAACCUCACCGAGAGGCAGGUCAAGAUCUG